UACGAAGGGGGCUAGCGUUGCUCGGAAUCACUGGGCGUAAAGCGCACGUAGGCGGAUUGUUAAGUCAGGGGUGAAAUCCUGGAGCUCAACUCCAGAACUGCCUUUGAUACUGGCGAUCUUGAGUCCGGGAGAGGUGAGUGGAACUGCGAGUGUAGAGGUGAAAUUCGUAGAUAUUCGCAAGAACACCAGUGGCGAAGGCGGGUCUCUGGACAGUUCCUGACACUGAGACACGAAGGCCAGGGGAGCAAACGGG
rnacentral:rRNA from 1 species